rnacentral:rRNA from 1 species
AUUGAACGCUGGCGGCAUGCUUUACACAUGCAAGUCGAACGGCAGCGCGGGUUUCGGCCUGGCGGCGAGUGGCGAACGGGUGAGUAAUGCAUCGGAACGUGCCCAGUAGUGGGGGAUAGCCCGGCGAAAGCCGGAUUAAUACCGCAUACGACCUGAGGGUGAAAGCGGGGGGCCGAAAGGCCUCGCGCUAUUGGAGCGGCCGAUGUCGGAUUAGCUAGUUGGUGGGGUAAAGGCUUACCAAGGCGACGAUCCGUAGCUGGUCUGAGAGGACGACCAGCCACACUGGGACUGAGACACGGCCCAGACUCCUACGGGAGGCAGCAGUGGGGAAUUUUGGACAAUGGGGGCAACCCUGAUCCAGCCAUGCCGCGUGCGGGAAGAAGGCCUUCGGGUUGUAAACCGCUUUUGUUCGGGAAGAAAUCCUCUGGGCUAAUACCCCGGGGGGAUGACGGUACCGGAAGAAUAAGCACCGGCUAACUACGUG